rnacentral:rRNA from 1 species
AGAGUUUGAUCAUGGCUCAGAACGAACGCUGGCGGCGCGUUUUAAGCAUGCAAGUCGAACGGGAUUGCGGGUGCUUGCACCUGCAUGAGAGUGGCGAACGGGUGAGUAACGCGUAGGUGAUCUACCCUAGAGUUGGGGAUAGCCCAUGGAAACAUGGGGUAAUACCGAAUAUGCUGCAUAAUUUUGUUUAUGUAGAAAAGGAGCGUUUGCUUCGCUUUAGGAUGAGCCUGCGUAUGAUUAGCUAGUUGGUAGGGUAAUGGCCUACCAAGGCGACGAUCAUUAGCCGGCCUGAGAGGGUGACCGGCCACAUUGGGACUGAGACACGGCCCAGACUCCUACGGGAGGCAGCAGCUAAGAAUCUUCCGCAAUGGACGCAAGUCUGACGGAGCGACGCCGCGUGUGCGAAGAAUGUCGAGAGAUUGUAAAGCACUUUUAUAUGUGAGGAAUAAGCGUGUCAGGAAAUGGGCAUGUGAUGACGUUAGCAUAUGAAUAAGCUCCGGCCAAUUACGUGCCAGCAGCCGCGGUAACACGUAAGGAGCGAGCGUUGUUCGGAAUUAUUGGGCGUAAAGGGCAUGUAGGCGGUUCUGUAAGUCUGAUGUGAAAGCA